UCCCGCAGUGAUCACCACGGGCUGUUUUACUAUGGAGCAGCGCCAUAGUAAAAUGUCUACCCGCCAUAGUAAAAUCGUGUAGCGCCAUAGUAAAAAAAAAAUCUGCCCCGCCGAUCUUCGUAUUCAAAACUCUGUUAACCCGUGGUGAGCCCCAGAUACCGCCAACUGUGUAGUGUUUUACUGACUGCACAGGUAAGAGCUCGAGGCCAGUUAAUUACCUGUUCACACGCCAGGGCGACUUUUGACACUUCAUUCAAUGACCUGGACGUCCAAUACCCCGACGAAUUAACCGAUAUAAUUAUAUCAAUCAUACCAAUAUUAAUUGAUGGCUUAAUUGAUCAUAGGGCCACGAACCGCGUGUUUGUGUUUUGACAGCGGUCGAUCUGUGUCGAAUAAAGGCUUAAAUGGCUUCGACAAUUAAAGUAAAACGCAUAUAUGACCCCGAUUACUUUAUAACACACGUGACAUGGAUGUUGCGUUUGUGAAGAAAUGAGGAGUUUGCAAAACGAAAGUAACAUGAACUAUAGAACAAAAAGACCGAUGAUUAUAAUUUCAUUCUGUAAUCAUGAAGCUACAACUAAAGCAGCAUUCUAUUGAAUCAUUUUUCGAGAAUUCGCCGAAAUGACAGAAGGCUUAGCCCGGUCUGUUCACCGACAAAGUCAAAACACAGAUCGUCAUUUUUACCGACUGAAUGAAGAAAUAUUUAUGGCUAAAGUACCACGAAGAUGAAGGCAUGUUUUAAAAACAGGACAGCAGACCUAUAUAUGGACACAGAUCAGAAAAAGAAAUAUCACCAUCACCACAUUGUUUGAUCCUGAGGACAAUGAAGUGUGAAGUUGGGCUGUAAGAAAAUGGACAAUUUGUGUGUGAAAAUGACUGACAAUUGUGACAUUGGAAAUCAUAUUAUAUUAGUGCUGUGACAUUACAUAUUGUUAUUGUGUUUAGUGUGAUAUCAUAGUGCUUAUUAUUUUAAGAAACUUCAGCUUUGGAAGUGUAUCAGUAACAUUUAAUUGGUAAUCUUAAAGAGAGAUAGAGAGAUACCAUGAGUUUGAGAAAGUCUGAGUUGGUAAAGAGAAUGAAGAACGAGCAAUGUAUUUAUUUAAGGAUGUACAAAUAUGGAUGAGUCAGAGAUUGGUAAAUACUGUAUUUAUUUUUCUUACAUAUUGAAUAAAUAAAUUCAUAUUACCAGGA